rnacentral:lncRNA from 1 species
GGUUAUAUUCUGAAAAAAAUUAUGGAGUAAAAAAACUUGAUGAGAGCUAUGCUGCCCUAGAGAAUAAGUUCCAAUCACAAUUUGGAAUAGUACCUGAAUCUACCUACAGAAAGAUUAAUCAAGAUCAUUGUUCCAUGAUAGCUAAAGUGAAGAAAUUAUAUAACGCUGAAAGUGACAAAUCAAUAAAAAAGAAGCUGCUUCCAAUUUCACCCGACAGUUGGGAAGUCAGUCGUAUAAUAUCUGAAUUUAACUGUUCUCGAAAAAUGGUACUGAAUCUUAAAAAUGAUAUCAGUGAAUCUGAGAAUGUUGAUUUAGACUCUGGUGAAAUGACUACUAAUACUUUGAAUCCCACCAAAGUUCCAGGCAAUCAGCCGCUUAAGUUAGAUGUAAAAAAACUUAUCAUUGAUUUUUAUGAAAGCGAAGAAAACUCAAAACAAUUAGCGGGCAUGAAAGAUUUUAAAUCUGUGAAGGAUUGUGAUGGAAAUCGAACUAGGGCACAAAAAAGUUGAUUCUUUGUAAUUUAAAAGAAUUGUACCAAAGCUUCAUAGCGCAAUAUAAUUCAGUGGCAAUCGGAUUUUCUAAAUUCGCUAGUUUGAGGCCUACUUAUUGUAUUCUUGCUGGAAGUAGUGGUACACAUGUCGUAUGUGUUUGUACUAUUCAUCAAAAUGUAAAAUUGAUGUUAGAAGGAUGUAAUUUUCAAAGUUUGCGAAAAACACCGAUUGGGUUGUAGAAUCUCAGCCAAUUUACAAAAAUUUAUUAAAUAAAUUAGUUUGUAACAAUCCAAAAGAAUCGUGCUUUUCCAGAAUGUGCAAUAGUUGUCCAAAUAAUGAAGAAAUCGCUGAUUAUUUUCGUGUGUCAUUUAAUAAAUCUGAUGUUAAUGAAAUCCAAUAUAAAAUGUGGACAUCAACAGACCGUUGCACUAUUGUGAAUGUUACUUCAGAUUCCGAAGACUUCAUCGAGACUUUAGUGACGCAACUUGAUAAGCUUUUGAAACAUGAUUUUAUUGCGAAAACACAAAGUCGAUUUUUUUCUGAUACAAAACUAAAUUUAAAGACCGGGGAAUUCACCGUAGUAUUUGACUUUGCGUAAAAUUAUGCAUUCGUUGUGCAGGAAGCAGCUCAAGGCUUUCAUUGGAAUAAUGAUCAAGCUACGAUAUUUCCAAUGGUGAUUUAUUAUAACGAAAAUGAUACUUUUAAGCAUUUGAGCUUUGUUGGUAUUUCAGAUUGUCUUAAGCACGACACAGUUUUAAUUUAUUUAUUUCAAGAGCAAUUGAUUGCCUUUCUUAAAAAGAAGUUUGCUGUCAUCAAUACGAUUUUUUACUUCUCUGAUGGAGCUCCACAACAAUUCAAAAACAAGAAAGCAUAAUUUACAAACUUAUAUUAUCAUUAUGCUGACUUCGAAAUCAACGCUGAGUGGCAUUUUUUUGCAACUGCCCAUGGCAAAGGACCAUGCGAUGGUCUUGCGGGUUCAUUAAAACGAUAUGCUGCUAGAGCUUCAUUACAAAUGAACAAUAAAGAGCAUAUACUGAAACCACAAGAUUUGUUUUCCUGGGGAACGAAAAAUUUUACAAGGGUUGACUUUACUUUUAUAGCUAAUGACGAUUAUUUAAUAAAAAAAAAUGUGUUAGACGUACGAUAUUCUCAAUCGAAAACGGUGAAAGGUACACAGUCAUUACACACUUUUGUGCCUUUAAAAGAUGAAAUUGGUUAUGCUUUCAUUAAAACUGUGUCCACAUCUCAAAAAAGUUCAAAAAUAAAAGUAUUUUAAUUAUAAU